GCGGUCGUGGCGGAACUGGCAGACGCGCAAGACUAAGGAUCUUGUGUCCCCAGGACAUGCAGGUUCGAUUCCUGUCGACCGCACCA
rnacentral:tRNA from 1 species